ACCAGAAAAAAAAAAUAAAAUAUGUGUGAAAUUAUGAAAGCAAUUUGCGGUGAAGUUCUAAAAUAAACCCGUCAUACUCUGAUUAAUUCAAAUUAGAUUCGCUUCACAGUCCUAAUAUUAAUAAGCCAAUAAACCGACACACGAGUACCGAUACAAAGAUCGUUAUUAUCCCCGAUAAGUGGGCUAGCUACCGCAAAUCCAGUUUAUCGCAGCGUAUUAUGGCUUGGAACCACGUAGUGGCCCCGAGGCUCUCGGGAAUUACGGAUAUUCCUGGCAUGUUUUCUUCGCUGGCACCCCAAUUAUAAAAUACCGAAUGAGGAUUAAAAAGAUAGACGCAAUCACAAGAUGAUUAGUUAUUCAACCGAAUAAAAUAAAAAAUACCAUAUUUUUUA